UGAAACGUCAGGCCAUUUCUAAAAUAACUUUUUGUUAAGUGAUCUUUUAAUCUUCAUUGUUUUUCAUUGUUACAUUUCCUAUUUUCUGCAGGAAAACAAACACGGGAGGUGAGCUACAGAAAUAAAAUGCCCAUGCUGAGGAACAGCGAAAUGAACUGAACAUAUAAAACAAGUUAUAUGGACAGGCCAAACGUCAGCCCCAAGGCUUAUAUCAAAGUUGUUUCCUUCAAUGUGGAAACUUCAAGCUUCCAAUUCACCAGUCUGCAAACCCUGAGCAUCAAAGCAGACCUGCCCUGUGAUCCACAGCUAAGCACUUACUUUCUUGAAGUGAUGCUUAGUGCUCUGAUUCACCAUCAAGAUCUGAAGGUGCUGUUAUGGGAAGAUAAAUUAGGGAACCAGACGAUUAAACCCUUUGGCCUCCACUGAGAUCUUCCUGAGCAGGAGCACUUGUCUCCAAUUCCUCUUUGACCUGUUAUUGUUUCCAUAUGGAGGCCACUGCUCAGGAUUCUCACUUGACUUACACACGAUUCCUGGGAGAUUGACAUGUGUGAGGAUCCUGAUUGCUUCAAACAGUAGUUGUUGAGAGUCCAUGUAAACCAGAGGGUCUAUACCACUGUAUAUUCUCUUCUCUUUAGCUACCAUUUUAUUUAAUGCCAGAACUCAUGUUCUUUUCUACUAUUCUGACCAUUAAAACUGUAAUUUAUGUUUAAAAAUUCUGUGGUAGUUUCUCAUUUUAAUCUGUCAGGCUGAUAGCUUUAUAGUUUCCUUACUUAGAGAAGUCAUAAUUUUAAAAUAGUUAUCAUCAUCAUCUGCAUUCUUAUUCUAAAUUGACAUAUAAACAAGAGGAAAACCAAAUGAUGUUUAAUUUAUUGAUAUUGCCUACCUAUCCUUAUUCAACUUUCCUCAUGUGUCAUGUGUUUUAUCUGUGUUCCUCUAUCACUGUGUGAUACAUACAAGAAACUCUAUUACUCACCUUAUUGUUCUGCCUGACAAAUGACUUAAAAUAUAGGGUGGAAAUGUUAGAUCUUUGUUGUUUUAAAUGUGUUAAUUAGUACUGGAGGGUGAGGGGAAACCAUUCCUUAGAUCCUUUCACAGCUGAUCUUCUAGUCAUGUCAGUUACCCUAUAAAUGUCUUAAAUCCAUUUCUUUAUCUUUCUCCCACUACUUGAUUCAGGUCUUCAGCAUCCCCUCUUUCUCCCGUUGGUCUCAUCCUCUUCUAUUUACCCUCUUGUUGCUAGAUUAGACUUAAAAUGUACACACAUAUGAACAUGCAGAAAUCUGAUCAGAUUAGUCCUCUGCCUAAAAUCCUUUUAUAUUCCCAGUGAACUUGAAUUUCUUUUCAAACUAAAGCCACUGGGGGUAGGCAAAAAAGAAGCUAACUCAAAUCAUGCGUUGAAUCUCUCAUGUCCAAUCGACUCUAACAAGUCUGCCUAAUUUUGGAUUUAUUAGGAACAGCUAAAAUUGUAUUUAAAGAAAAAGUCACCAUUCACUGUGAAAUGCUGUAUAGUGAACAUCUUCCAAAUGUCAGUGUCUUACAAUGACAAACAUUUACUUUUCCUGUUAAUAGGUCUUUGGAUUGGUUGAGGUGGUUUUGCUGCAGGUACUUCUGGUUUCCUUCACAUGACUUUCUUUCUGGUAUGAGUGGCUGUUUGUAGCCUUCUUCAUGAAGCAUGCAGAAGCAACAGAGACAGGUCAAACAAUACGAGCAUAUUUCAUUUUGAAUUUCUUUUUGUGUAUGCUAUAAGAAAGUGGUCCAGUUUCAUUCUUCUGCAUGUCGCUAUCCAGUUUUCCCAACACCAGUUGUUGAAGAGACUGUCUUCUUUUUCUGUUGGAUGUUCUUUCCCGCUUUGUCAAAGAUUAGUUGACCACAGAGUUGAGGGUCCAUUUCCGGGUUCUCUAUUCUAUUUCUUUGAUCUAUGUGUCUAUUUUUGUGCCAUUACCAUACUGUCUUGAUGACUACAGCUUUGUAAUAGAGCUUGAAGUCUGGAAUUUUGAUGUCUCCCACUUUGCUUUUCUUUUUCAAGGUUGCUUUGGCUAUGUGGGGUCUUUUGUGAUUCCAUACAGAUUUUAAAAUUGUUUGUUCUAGCUCUGUGAAAAAUGCUAGGGUUAUUUUGAUUGGGAUUGCAUUGAAUGUGUAGAUUGCUUAAUAUAGUGUAGACAUUUUAACAAUAUUUGUUCUUCCAGUCCAUGAGCCUGGACUGUUUUUCCAUUUCUUUAUGUCUUCUUCAAUUUCCUUCAUAAAUGUUCAAUAGUUUUCAUCAUACAGAUCUUUUAUCUUUUUGGUUAGGUUUAUUGCCAGGUAUCUUAUGGUUUUUGGUGCAAUUGUAAAUGGAAUCAAUUCCUUGAUUUCUCUUUCUGCUGUUUCAUUAUUGGUGUAUAGAAAUGCAACAGAUUUCUGUACAUUGAUUUUAUAUCCUGUGACUUUGCUGAAUUCAUGUAUAUUCUAGCAGUUUUUUGGUGGAGUCUUUUGGGUUUUGUACAUAGAGUAUCAUGUCAUAUUCAAAUAGUGAAAGUUUGACAUCUUCCUUGACAAUUUUGAUGACUUUUAUUUCUUUUUGCUGUUUGAUUGCUGAGGCUAGGAAUUCCAGUACUAUAUUGAACAAUGGUGGUGACAGUAGACAUCCCUGUCAUGUUCCUGACCUUAGGGAAAAGCUUUCAGUUUUUCCCCAUUGAGGGUGAUAUUGGCUGUGGGUCUUUUGUAUGUGGCCUUUAUAAUGUUGAGACAUGUUCCUUCUAUCCCUACUUUCUUGAGGGUUUGUAUCAAGAAAGGAUGCUGUAUUUUAUCAAAUGCUUUUUCUGCAUCUAUUGAAAGGAUCGUAUGACUCUUUUUUUUUUUUUUUAAAGAUUUUAUUUAUUUAUUUGACAGAGAGAGACAGCCAGCGAGAGAGGGAACGCAAGCAGGGGGAGUGGGAGAGGAAGAAGCAGGCUCCUAGCGAGGAGCCCGAUGCGGGGCUCGAUCCCAGAUAGCUGGGAUCACGCCCUGAGCCGAAGGCAGACACUUAACAACUGCGCCACCCAGAUGCCCCGAAAGGAUCGUAUGACUCUUAUCCUUUCUUUUAUUAAUGUGGUGCAUCACAUUGAUUGAUUUGAGGGUAUUGAACCACCCCUGCAGCCCAGGAAUAAAUCCCUCUUGAUCAUGGUGAAUAAUCCUUUUAAUGUACUGUUGGAUUCAAUUAACUGGUACCUUAUUGAGAAUUUUUGCAUCCAUGUUCAUCAGGGAUAUUGGCUUGUAAUUCUCUUUUGUAGGAGGGUCCUUGUCUGGUUUUGGGACUGAGGUAAUGCUGGCCUCAUAGAAUCAGUUUGGAAGUUUUCCUUCCAUUUCUAUUUUGUGGAACAGCUUCAGAAGAAUAGGUGUUAAUUUUCUUUCAGUGUUUGGUAAAUUCCCCCUGGAAGCCAUCUGGCCCAGGACUCUUGUUUGUUGGGAGAUUUUUGAUUAGUGAUUCAAUUUCUUUGCUGGUUAUGGGUCUGUUCAAAUUUUCUGUUUCUUUCUGUUUCAGUUUUGGUAGUUUAUAUGUUUCUAGGAAUUUAUACAUUUUUUUCCCAGAUUGCCCAAUUUGCUGGCAUAUGAUUUUUCAUGAUAUUCUCUUACAAUUGUUUGUAUUUCUGCUGUGUUGGUUG
ensembl:lncRNA